rnacentral:rRNA from 1 species
GUUCGGAUUGUAGGCUGCAACUCGCCUACAUGAAGUCGGAAUUGCUAGUAAUCGCGGAUCAGCAUGCCGCGGUGAAUACGUUCCCGGGCCUUGUACACACCGCCCGUCACACCAUGGGAGUCGGUAACACCCGAAGCCUGUAGUCUAACCGCAAGGAGGACGCAGUCGAAGGUGGGAUUGAUGACUGGGGUGAAGUCGUAACAAGGUAUC